GUACGGGAGGCAGCAGUGAGGAAUAUUAGUCAAUGGAGGGAACUCUGAACCAGCCAUGCCGCGUGAAGGAAGAAGGCGCUACGCGUUGUAAACUUCUUUUGGGUGGGACGAAAAUAAUCCAUUUAUGGAUAGCUGACGGUACCAUCAGAAUAAGCACCGGCUAACUCCGUGCCAGCAGCCGCGGUAAUACGGAGGGUGCGAGCGUUAUCCGGAAUCACUGGGUUUAAAGGGUGCGUAGGUGGCUUAAUAAGUCAGCUGUGAAAUGUCUGGGCUUAACCGAGGCAUUGCGGUUGAUACUGUUAGGCUUGAAUCAAGUUGAGGUGGCUAGAAUGUGACAUGUAGCGGUGAAAUGCAUAGAUAUGUCAUAGAAUACCAAUUGCGAAGGCAGGUUGCUAGACUUUGAUUGACACUGAGGCACGAAAGCGUGGGGAUCAAACAGGAUUAGAUACCCUUGUAGUCCC
rnacentral:rRNA from 1 species